GCCCGGAUGGUGAAACUGGUAGACACAGGGGACUUAAAAUCCCCCGGCCGCAAGGCCAUGCCGGUUCGAAUCCGGCUCCGGGCACCA
rnacentral:tRNA from 1 species